rnacentral:rRNA from 1 species
GAUGAACGCUAGCGGCAGGCCUAAUACAUGCAAGUCGAGGGGCAGCACGAGAUUUCGGUCUUGGUGGCGACCGGCGCACGGGUGCGUAACGCGUAUGCAAUCUACCCACUGCAGAGGGAUAGCCCGUGGAAACAUGGAUUAAUACCUCAUAAUACAGGGAGCCCACCUGGGCAUAUUGUUAAAGCUCCGGCGGCAGUGGAUGAGCAUGCGUCCCAUUAGUUAGUUGGUAAGGUAACGGCUUACCAAGACGAUGAUGGGUAGGGGUUCUGAGAGGAUGAUCCCCCACACUGGUACUGAGACACGGUCCAGACUCCUACGGAGCAGCAGUAGGGAAUUUUCGACAAUGGACGAAAGUCUGAUCGAGCAACGCCGCGUGAGGGAAGAAGGUCUUCGGA